rnacentral:rRNA from 1 species
UACAGGGGUUGCAAGCGUUGCUCGGAAUUAUUGGGCGUAAAGCGCGCGUAGGCGGCCACUUAAGUCGGAUGUGAAAGCCCCUGGCUCAACUGGGGAAGUGCACCCGAAACUGAAUGGCUUGAAUGCAAAAGAGGGUCGCGGAAUUCCCGGUGUAGAGGUGAAAUUCGUAGAUAUCUGGAGGAACACCGGUGGCGAAGGCGGCAUCCUGGACCGAGAUUGACGCUGAGGCGCGAAAGCCAGGGGAGCAAACGGG